rnacentral:snoRNA from 1 species
GUGGAGAAGGCCCGUCAUCGCUGAUAGGUGAAUGACAAAUCUGGGUUCUGA